GGUUCAUCCAUGCAAGCAUUUGGUGCCGAUCAGUUUGACCAGAAUAACCCUAAGGAAUUUGUGUCCCGGAGUUCCAUGUUCAACUGGUGGUACUUCGCAGUGUGUGGCGGGAUAGUUGUCACGCUUCUCACGAUGACUUACAUCCAAGACAACUUAGGAUGGAUUCUCGGUUUCGGCAUCCCAUGCAUUGCUAUGGUGGUUAGCUUCGUGGCUUUCUUG
rnacentral:misc_RNA from 1 species